GAUGAACGCUGGCGGCGUGCCUAAUACAUGCAAGUCGAGCGAACAGACGAGGAGCUUGCUCCUCUGACGUUAGCGGCGGACGGGUGAGUAACACGUGGAUAACCUACCUAUAAGACUGGGAUAACUUCGGGAAACCGGAGCUAAUACCGGAUAAUAUAUUGAACCGCAUGGUUCAAUAGUGAAAGACGGUUUUGCUGUCACUUAUAGAUGGAUCCGCGCCGCAUUAGCUAGUUGGUAAGGUAACGGCUUACCAAGGCGACGAUGCGUAGCCGACCUGAGAGGGUGAUCGGCCACACUGGAACUGAGACACGGUCCAGACUCCUACGGGAGGCAGCAGUAGGGAAUCUUCCGCAAUGGGCGAAAGCCUGACGGAGCAACGCCGCGUGAGUGAUGAAGGUCCUCGGAUCGUAAAACUCUGUUAUUAGGGAAGAACAAAUGUGUAAGUAACUAUGCACGUCGUGACGGUACCUAAUCAGAAAGCCACGGCUAACUACG
rnacentral:rRNA from 1 species